UACGGGGGGGGCAAGCGUUGUUCGGAAUUACUGGGCGUAAAGGGCUCGUAGGUGGCCAACUAAGUCAGACGUGAAAUCCCUCGGCUUAACCGGGGAACUGCAUCUGAUACUGGAUGGCUGGAGAUUGGGAGAGGGAUGCGGAAUUCCAGGUGUAGCGGUGAAAUGCGUAGAUAUCUGGAGGAACACCGGUGGCGAAGGCGGCAUCCUGGACCGAUAUUGACGCUGAGGCGCGAAAGCCAGGGGAGCAAACGGGG
rnacentral:rRNA from 1 species